rnacentral:rRNA from 1 species
UACGAAGGGGGCUAGCGUUGUUCGGAAUUACUGGGCGUAAAGCGCACGUAGGCGGAUCGAUCAGUCAGGGGUGAAAUCCCAGGGCUCAACCCUGGAACUGCCUUUGAUACUGUCGAUCUGGAGUAUGGAAGAGGUGAGUGGAAUUCCGAGUGUAGAGGUGAAAUUCGUAGAUAUUCGGAGGAACACCAGUGGCGAAGGCGGCUCACUGGUCCAUUACUGACGCUGAGGUAGCGAA